rnacentral:rRNA from 1 species
AGGACAAACGCUGGCGGCGUGUAUUAGGCAUGCAAGUCGCACGGACACUUCGGUGUCAGUGGCGGACGGGUGAGUAACACGUGGGUAACCUGCCCUACAGUGGGGAAUAACUCGCCGAAAGGCGAGCUAAUACCGCAUUCGACUUCCGGUGAGAAUCCGGAUAGUGAAAGCAGUAAUGCGCUGAAGGAGGGGCCCGCGGCCGAUUAGCUUGUUGGUGGGGUAAUAGCCUACCAAGGCGACGAUCGGUAGCUGGUCUGAGAGGAUGGUCAGCCACACGGGGACUGAGAUACGGCCCCGACUCCUACGGGAGGCAGCAGCUAAGAAUCUUGCGCAAUGGGCGAAAGCCUGACGCAGCAACGCCGCGUGGGGACGAAGGCCGUUCGGUCGUAAACCCUUUGCGAGGGAAGAGUUCUGACGGUACCUCGCGAAUAGCCACGCUAACUACGUGCCAGCAGCCGC